rnacentral:rRNA from 1 species
GACAGAGGUGCCAAGCGUUAGGCGGAAUCACUGGGCUUAAAGCGUGUGUAGGCGGAUCGUUAAGUACCUUGUGAAAUCCCACGGCUCAACCGUGGAACUGCUGGGUAUACUGGCGAUCUUGAGCCACCUAGGGGCGAGCGGAACAAACGGUGGAGCGGUGAAAUGCGUAGAUAUCGUUUGGAACGCCAACGGUGAAGACAGCUCGCUGGGGGUGUGCUGACGCUGAGACACGAAAGCCAGGGGAGCGAACGGG